rnacentral:rRNA from 1 species
AGUCUGACUCCCCUAUGAUAUAAUUUAUAUUAAAUGGCCGCGAUAGUUUGAUCGUGCAAAGGUAGCAUAAUCAUUAGUUUUUUAAUUGGGAACUGGAAUGAAAGGUCGAACGAGAAAAAGGCUGUCUCAAUUUAAUUUUAAUUAGAAUUUUAUUUUUAAGUAAAAAAGCUUAAAUAAUUUUAAAAGACGAGAAGACCCUAUAGAGUUUUAUAUUUAUAAAUUUUGGAAAAAAUUUAAGAAUUUUAUUUUUUUUAUUGGGUAUAAGUAUUUGAUUGGGGCGAUUAAAAAAUUGAAUAAACUUUUUUUAAAUUUUUAACAUUGAUAUAUGAUUAAGUGAUCCAUGAAUUAUGAUUAAAAGAUUAAAUUACCUUAGGGAUAACAGCGUUAUUUUUUUUAAGAGUUCUUAUCGAAAAAAAAGUUUGCGACCUCGAUGUUGGAUUAAAAUUUACUUUUGGUGUAGAAGCUAAAAAGUUGGGUCUGUUCGACCCUUAAAAUUUUACAUGAUCUGAGUUUAAACCGGUGUAAGCCAGGUUGGUUUCUAUCUUUAA